rnacentral:lncRNA from 1 species
CCCGCCCCUGGCGUGCCUGCCCUUGGUUCCGCCCGGCAGCCAGGCCGGCAGGCCUGCGAGGCCCCGCUCCAUCGCAAAUAAGGUUUCUUUGAGAUUUCUGUGAGGAGCGGGCCCCUGUGCUGACGCAGGCGGAGCGGUGGAGCUGGAGACUCGAGAGCAGAGGGUGUGGCUCCCGCGCGAGGCUGUCAGGCUGCUGCCCAAGCAGAACCGUCGUGGGAGUUGGCGUGUGAAAAUGAUACACUUGGAGAAGAAGAAAGACAACCUGAAUGGCAGAUGCUUUGAGUUAUUUUAAAGACCCGUCUGGAAUGAAAGGUCCUGGCAAAGACAUCCUCUGUGGGUCGGCGUCAUGCUUGUGUCUUUGCCACUGUCUUCACUCAUCCACAUGGUAGAGAUCAAAGCUUCCAGAAGCUUCAAACAUGUUCUCUCUUUCUAUUCCUCUCCCAUCUCAACAGAAAGUAACAUCUCGAUCGAACUUUUGCCAUAGACGUCUAUGUAGUGGGAGCCGGAAGAAAGAUAGUCCUGUGGGGGGGCCUUAGGAAAUAAACCAUGUCAGAACUGGUCUGGAUUUGACA